rnacentral:rRNA from 1 species
AGCGAACGCUGGCGGCAGGCCUAACACAUGCAAGUCGAGCGCCCCGCAAGGGGAGCGGCAGACGGGAGAGUAACACGUGGGAACGUACCCUUCAGUACGGAACAACCAAGGGAAACUUUGGCUAAUACCGUAUACGUCCGUAAGGAGAAAGGUUUAUCGCUGAAGGAUCGGCCCGCGUCUGAUUAGCUAGUUGGUGAGGUAACGGCUCACCGAGGCGACGAUCAGUAGCUGGUCUGAGAGGAUGAUCAGCCUCACUGGGACUGAGACACGGCCCAGACUCCUACGGGAGGCAGCAGUGGGGAAUAUUGGACAGUGGGCGCAAGCCUGAUCCAGCCAUGCCGCGUGGAUGAUGAAGGCCCUAGGGUUGUAAAGUCCUUUCGGCGGGGAAGAUAAUGACGGUACCCGCAGAAGAAGCCCCGGCUAACUUCGUGCCAGCAGCCGCGGUAAUACGAAGGGGGCUAGCGUUGCUCGGAAUCACUGGGCGUAAAGCGCACGUAGGCGGCGUUG